rnacentral:rRNA from 1 species
CCUACGGGAGGCAGCAGUGGGGAAUAUUGCACAAUGGGCGAAAGCCUGAUGCAGCAACGCCGCGUGAAGGAAGACGGUUUUCGGAUUGUAAACUUCUAUCAAUAGGGAAGAAAGAAAUGACGGUACCUAAAUAAGAAGCCCCGGCUAACUUCGUGCCAGCCGCCGCGGUAAUACGUAGGGGGCAAGCGUUCUCCGGAAUUACUGGGUGUAAAGGGAGAGUAGGCGGCAAGGUAAGCGAUAUGUGAAAGCCUUAGGCUUAACCAAAGGAUUGCCUAACGAACUAACUAACUAGAGUGCAGGAGAGGAAAGCGGAAUUCCUAGUGUAGCGGUGAAAUGCGUAGAUAUUAGGAAGAACACCAGUGGCGAAGGCGGCUUUCUGGACUGAAACUGACGCUGAGGCUCGAAAGCGUGGGGAGCGAACAGGAUUAGAUACCCGGGUAGUC